GUUUCUGUUAAAUUAUUAGGGAACGACAAUCUAACUUCAGGGGGAGGAGGGUUACGGGUUUUUUUUUCUGAAAAAAAAAUAUUAUAAUCCCUUAUUUAAUGAAGAAAACAAAUUCUGGUCAGGCAGAUGACAAAAAAAUAUUUCUCAAUGCAGAUUUAUCCCAUACCUUCAAUUCAAUUCAAUUCUUUAUUACUUUAAGCAAUUACCUUAUAAUAUUGAAGUUUGAAAAA
rnacentral:lncRNA from 1 species